UACGUAGGGUGCAAGCGUUAAUCGGAAUUACUGGGCGUAAAGCGUACGUAGGCGGCUCUUAAUGUCGGUGGUGAAAUCCUGGAGCUCAACUCCAGAACUGCCUUCGAUACUGGGAGCUCGAGUCCGGGAGAGGUGAGUGGAACUGCGAGUGUAGAGGUGAAAUUCGUAGAUAUUCGCAAGAACACCAGUGGCGAAGGCGGCUCACUGGCCCGAUACUGACGCUGAGGUGCGAAAGCGUGGGGAGCAAACAGG
rnacentral:rRNA from 1 species